UNGGAAAUCAGGGCUGUGUUCAAUAUGA
rnacentral:piRNA from 1 species